UGUUUCGGCAAGGGGGUCAUCCCGACUUACCAACCCGAUGCAAACUGCGAAUACCGGAGAAUGUUAUCACGGGAGACACACGGCGGGUGCUAACGUCCGUCGUGAAGAGGGAAACAACCCAGACCGCCAGCUAAGGUCCCAAAGUCAUGGUUAAGUGGGAAACGAUGUGGGAAGGCCCAGACAGCCAGGAUGUUGGCUUAGAAGCAGCCAUCAUUUAAAGAAAGCGUAAUAGCUCACUGGUCGAGUCGGCCUGCGCGGAAGAUGUAACGGGGCUAAACCAUGCACCGAAGCUGCGGCAGCGACGCUUAUGCGUUGUUGGGUAGGGGAGCGUUCUGUAAGCCUGUGAAGGUGUGCUGUGAGGCAUGCUGGAGGUAUCAGAAGUGCGAAUGCUGACAUAAGUAACGAUAAAGCGGGUGAAAAGCCCGCUCGCCGGAAGACCAAGGGUUCCUGUCCAACGUUAAUCGGGGCAGGGUGAGUCGACCCCUAAGGCGAGGCCGAAAGGCGUAGUCGAUGGGAAACAGGUUAAUAUUCCUGUACUUGGUGUUACUGCGAAGGGGGGACGGAGAAGGCUAUGUUGGCCGGGCGACGGUUGUCCCGGUUUAAGCGUGUAGGCUGGUUUUCCAGGCAAAUCCGGAAAAUCAAGGCUGAGGCGUGAUGACGAGGCACUACGGUGCUGAAGCAACAAAUGCCCUGCUUCCAGGAAAAGCCUCUAAGCAUCAGGUAACAUCAAAUCGUACCCCAAACCGACACAGGUGGUCAGGUAGAGAAUACCAAGGCGCUUGAGAGAACUCGGGUGAAGGAACUAGGCAAAAUGGUGCCGUAACUUCGGGAGAAGGCACGCUGAUAUGUAGGUGAAGUCCCUCGCGGAUGGAGCUGAAAUCAGUCGAAGAUACCAGCUGGCUGCAACUGUUUAUUAAAAACACAGCACUGUGCAAACACGAAAGUGGACGUAUACG
rnacentral:rRNA from 1 species